GAUAACAGUUGGAAACGGCUGCUAAUACCGCAUAAGCGCACGAGAGGACAUCCUCUUGUGUGAAAAACUCCGGUGGUACAGGAUGGGCCCGCGUCUGAUUAGCUGGUUGGCAGGGUAACGGCCUACCAAGGCGACGAUCAGUAGCCGGUCUGAGAGGAUGAACGGCCACAUUGGAACUGAGACACGGUCCAAACUCCUACGGGAGGCAGCAGUGGGGAAUAUUGCACAAUGGGGGAAACCCUGAUGCAGCACGCCGCGUGAGUGAAGAAGUAUUUCGGUAUGUAAAGCUCUAUCAGCAGGGAAGAUAAUGACGGUACCUGACUAAGAAGCUCCGGCUAAAUACGUGCCAGCAGCCGCGGUAAUACGUAUGGAGCAAGCGUUAUCCGGAUUUACUGGGUGUAAAGGGUGCGUAGGUGGCAGUGCAAGUCAGAUGUGAAAGGCCGGGGCUCAACCCCGGAGCUGCAUUUGAAACUGCAUAGCUAGAGUACAGGAGAGGCAGGCGGAAUUCCUAGUGUAGCGGUGAAAUGCGUAGAUAUUAGGAGGAACACCAGUGGCGAAGGCGGCCUGCUGGACUGUUACUGACA
rnacentral:rRNA from 1 species